rnacentral:rRNA from 1 species
CCUACUGGAGACAUCAUUGAGGCAUAUUGGUCAAUGGGCGAGAGCCUGAACCAUCCACGUCGCGCGAAGUCUUCCUUCCCUCCUUUUUUUCCCCUUCUUUUUUCCUUUCUCCCUUGGGUCCACGCGUGGGCUUAGCGAGAGUACCUGAAGAAAAAGCAUCGGCUAACUCCGUGCCAGCAGCCGCGGUAAUACUGAGGAUGCGAGCGUUAUCCGGAUUUAUUGGGUUUAAAGGGUGCGUAGGCGGAAUAUCAAGUCAGCGGUAAAAAUUCGGGGCUCAACCCCGUCGUGCCGUUGAAACUGAUGUUCUUGAGUGGGCGAGAAGUAUGCGGAAUGCGUGGUGUAGCGGUGAAAUGCAUAGAUAUCACGCAGAACUCCGAUUGCGAAGGCAGCAUACCGGCGCCCAACUGACGCUGAAGCACGAAAGCGUGGGUAUCGAACAGGAUUAGAGAAAAGGGUAGUC